rnacentral:tRNA from 1 species
AGUUAGUUACCUUAAUUUAAAGUAUAUAUUUUGAAAAUAUAAAAUGUAAGUUAACCCUUACACUAACUU